CUGCAGGGUCAUUAACAACAAAGAUGGAAGCACAAGGAUAUAAUCAGAUGCUUUUGGCCAGCAUGAGAGGGGAGGGGUCUCAGCAUACCAGUAGCCAGUGUACUUCUCCCACGACC